UACGUAGGGUGCGAGCGUUGUCCGGAAUUAUUGGGCGUAAAGAGCUCGUAGGCGGUGUGUCGCGUCGGCCGUGAAAACCUGGGGCUUAACUCUGGGCGUGCGGUCGAUACGGGCAUCACUGGAGUUCGGCAGGGGAGACUGGAAUUCCUGGUGUAGCGGUGAAAUGCGCAGAUAUCAGGAGGAACACCGGUGGCGAAGGCGGGUCUCUGGGCAGUAACUGACGCUGAGGAGCGAAAGCGUGGGGAGCGAACAGG
rnacentral:rRNA from 1 species